rnacentral:misc_RNA from 1 species
GAUCAAAUAUGAAGUUAUCAAGGUUCCUUUGCUAUAUUGAAGGAGGACAGGUGGAAGGCAUGCGAAAGCCAUGUAUUGGUUCUUUGGAUAAAAGCAAGCCAAAGGAGAUCAAAUGGGAAUCUUUUCCCCAUCGCCUAUUCUUUGCUCGUGAGCAUACAGCUACCUGGGGUCCGGGUGGGGUUGCUUUUCUUCACCCUGAAUGCAACAGUGAUGAAAAAGCUUACUUGUGCCUAUAUAGGAUAACGCUUGAGCAAUUUAAUGAUGUUUUACUUCAAGAGAAUACUUCAAGCUUUGACAUGAAUUACCCUUUGUUUGACAUGACUGACUUACAAUCUAUUGAAGAAAGAAAAUGUGUUCCAGUGGAGGCUGUCAAGAAUGGCUGGUACCA